CUCCUACGGGAGGCAGCAGUGGGGAAUAUUGGACAAUGGACCAAGAGUCUGAUCCAGCAAUUCUGUGUGCACGAUGAAGUUUUUCGGAAUGUAAAGUGCUUUCAGUUGGGAAGAAAAAAAUGACGGUACCAACAGAAGAAGUGACGGCUAAAUACGUGCCAGCAGCCGCGGUAAUACGUAUGUCACAAGCGUUAUCCGGAUUUAUUGGGCGUAAAGCGCGUCUAGGUGGUUAUAUAAGUCUGAUGUGAAAAUGCAGGGCUCAACUCUGUAUUGCGUUGGAAACUGUGUAACUAGAGUACUGGAGAGGUAAGCGGAACUACAAGUGUAGAGGUGAAAUUCGUAGAUAUUUGUAGGAAUGCCGAUGGGGAAGCCAGCUUACUGGACAGAUACUGACGCUGAAGCGCGAAAGCGUGGGUAGCAAACAGGAUUAGAUACCCUGGUAGUCCACGCCGUAAACGAUGAUUACUAGGUGUUGGGGGUCGAACCUCAGCGCCCAAGCAAACGCGAUAAGUAAUCCGCCUGGGGAGUACGUACGCAAGUAUGAAACUCAAAGGAAUUGACGGGGGCCCGCACAAG
rnacentral:rRNA from 1 species